GUGGGGAAUAUUGGACAAUGGGGGGAACCCUGAUCCAGCCAUGCCGCGUGUGUGAAGAAGGCCUUUUGGUUGUAAAGCACUUUAAGUGGGGAGGAGGCUUACCUGGUUAAUACCUGGGCUAAGUGGACGUUACCCACAGAAUAAGCACCGGCUAACUCUGUGCCAGCAGCCGCGGUAAUACAGAGGGUGCGAGCGUUAAUCGGAUUUACUGGGCGUAAAGCGCGCGUAGGUGGUUAAUUAAGUCAAAUGUGAAAUCCCCGAGCUUAACUUGGGAAUUGCAUUCGAUACUGGUUGGCUAGAGUAUGGGAGAGGAUGGUAGAAUUCCAGGUGUAGCGGUGAAAUGCGUAGAGAUCUGGAGGAAUACCGAUGGCGAAGGCAGCCAUCUGGCCUAAUACUGACACUGAGGUGCGAAAGCAUGGGGAGCAAAAGGGAUUAGAUACCCUUGUAGUCC
rnacentral:rRNA from 1 species